rnacentral:rRNA from 1 species
UCGAACGCCCCGCGAGGGGAGUGGCAGACGGGUGAGUAACGCGUGGGAACAUACCCUUUGGUUCGGAACAACUCCGGGAAACUGGAGCUAAUACCGGAUACGCCCUUUUGGGGAAAGGCUUGCUGCCGAAGGAGUGGCCCGCGUUCGAUUAGCUUGAUGGCGGGGUAACGGCCCACCAUGGCGACGAUCGAUAGCUGGUCUGAGAGGAUGGCCAGCCACAUUGGGACUGAGACACGGCCCAA